AUUGAACGCUGGCGGCAUGCCUUACACAUGCAAGUCGAACGGCAGCACGGGGCAACCUGGUGGCGAGUGGCGAACGGGUGGGUAAUGCAUCGGAACGUACCUUUCAGUGGGGGAUAACGUAGCGAAAGUUACGCUAAUACCGCAUAUUCUGUGAGCAGGAAAGCAGGGGAUCGCAAGACCUUGCGCUGAUUGAGCGGCCGAUGUCAGAUUAGCUAGUUGGUGAGGUAAAGGCUCACCAAGGCGACGAUCUGUAGCGGGUCUGAGAGGAUGAUCAGCCACACUGGAACUGAGACACGGUCCAGACUCCUACGGGAGGCAGCAGGGGGGAAUUUUGGAAAAUGGGGGCAACCCUGAUCCAGCCAUGCCGCGUGAGUGAAGAAGGCCUUCGGGUUGUAAAGCUCUUUCGGCCGGGAAGAAAUCGCACGGGCUAAUACCCUGUGUGGAUGACGGUACCGGAAUAAGAAGCACCGGCUAACUACGUGCCAGCAGCCGCCGUAACAC
rnacentral:rRNA from 1 species